AAGACCCGAAUCCGGGCGAUCUAGCCAUGACCAGGGUGAACCUCAAGUAACAUUGAGGGAAGGCCCGCACCCACUAGUCGUAUAACGCUAGGGGAUGAGUUGUGGUUAGCGGUGAAAGUCCAAUCGAGCCCGGCAAUAGCUGGUUCUCCUCGAAAUAUCUUUAGGGAUAGCGUUCGUUUAGGUUUCCGGGGGUAGAGCACUGCAUGACUGCGGGUGGAGUAAUCCUACUGUAGUUAAGCAAACUCCGAAUACUGGAAAUUUUAUUGCGAAUAGUCAGGCCUAGGGGGCUAAGCUCCUAGGUCAAGAGGGAAACAACCCAGACCACCAUCUAAGGUCCCCAAAUCAUGCUAAGUGGCAAAAGAGGUGAAAUCUCAUAGACACCUAGGAGGUUGGCUUAGAAGCAGCCAUCCUUAAAAGAAAGCGUAACAGCUCACUGGUUUAGAGGUUUUGCACUUAAGAUGUAACGGGGCUAAGCAUGAUACCGAAGAUGUGGCUCGUUUUUGACCUUAGGGUCAUUUACGGGGGUAGAGGAGCAUCUCUAGGGCGUCGAAGCCAGACUUGCGAGAGCUGGUGGAGCGCUAGGGAGCGAGAAUGUCGGUAUGAGUAACCACAAGGCGGGUGAGAUUCCCGCCCACCGAAAGUCUAAGGUUUCCUGGGCAAUGAUGAUCAUCCCAGGGUUAGUCGGUCCUAAGUCGAGGCCUAAAGGCGUAGACGAUGGACAGCAGGUUAAUAUUCCUGCACUUUGUAAAAGUUUGUUUUAACGAGACGUGGUUUAGGAGAUUGAGCUUGUUAUUGGAUUUGAGUCCAUCCUUGUGGUGGCGUAUCAUUCCUUCGGGUUUGAGCAGUCAAUCAAAUAAAUUACCGAGAAAAUUGUUAAUACUUAUACUUUUAUGAAUCCGUACCGUAAACCAACACAGGUAGACAGGGCGAGUAGCCCAAGGUGAAUAAGUUAAUCCUUCCUAAGGAACUCGGCAAAAUAGCUAGGCGUAACUUCGGAAGAUGCCUUGCCCGUGUUUGGGAUUUAGGAUAUUUAAUUGUAUCUUGAACCCUGAACAUGGGCCGCAGCUAAAGAGUCCUGGCGACUGUUUAUCAAAAACACAGCUCUCUGCUAACUCGAAAGAGGAUGUAUAGGGGGUGACGCCUGACCAGUGCCAGAAGGUCAAGGGUGGUGGUCUUGCAUUUAUGUAAGGCUAGCCGCUUUAAGCCCUGGUGAACGUCAGCGAUAACUAUAAUCGUUCUAAGGUGAAUUUCUUGCCUUAGUGAGGUGUAAGCCCUCCUUUUGAACUCCAUUGCCGUGGAGAUGUAGAAAGAAAAUUUGGCUAAAUGCUGGAAUACCCGCAAUGUAUCCUUGAGUACCAAAGUUGUAACAAUCUCAAGGUGAAGCGGACAAUCAGCAGGAAAGGUUUUUGUUUACUAACAGAAGAAUCCUCAGAGACUAUACGCCAGACCCACUGACGGGAAGAUAUAGUCCGAACUCUAUGGCGACAUAGAGAGUGUGAUAGAAAUAAUCACACCGCUACAUUAAGUUGUGGUAGUAACAAAUUGAGCGAAAUUCCUUGCGGGGUAAGUUCCCGCCCGCACGAAAGGCGUAACGACUGGGACACUGUCUCAGGAAGGAGCUUGGUGAAAAUGCAGUACCGGUAAAGAUGCCGGUUACCUGCGGCAAGACGAAAAGACCCCGGGAGCUUUACUAUAGCUUGGUAUUGGUUUUUGUAUAUUUCUGCUAAGAAUAGGC
rnacentral:rRNA from 1 species